CACAUCCUGGAAUCUGCUCACUUCACCAUUCGUUGGUGAUUUUCAGUUGUACAUUUUUCAUCUACAUCUCAGUCCAGCCUUAGUCGCAUGUACAAAUGCAUUGCUAUUAGUUUUUUUUUCUUACUAAACACAGCGAUCUGCUCAAACAGAUUGGUCAGUACAGAAUAUAAAGACACAAGCUGGUCCCUAUCUGAUUCUUCAUACCAAUAGUGCAGAAAUAUCUGCAAAUAAAUAAUUACUAGGAAGAGCUACAGAAAUAGCUAUGUGAAAAGGCUAUGUGUAUUUACUGCUCCCUGUCAAUCCAGUAUACGUCAUGCAAAGAUUACCAUAUCAAAUAACCUGAUUACAUGGCCUUACUGGAACAGAACAGGUUGUAGUAAUGCAAAUAUGAACUAACUUUUUCAUGAUUUAGACUAUUCUAUAUAAUUUAACAUACUAUGAUUGCUUUACCACUACAAUAUAUCUCCUGCACAGGUUCAAAACAAAUAUAUCUCCUGCAGAUGAGCUCUUGAUUAUUCUGCCAAUUCAGAGUAUGUGUAUAGAUGAUUGAAUGCGCUCACUGGUAUGAAACCAUGUAGCUAAAUCUGGUACAUAUCUUUGCAUCCUAAACUUGAGAGUUCCUAUUGGCUUAAGUGAAUACAUGCAUCCUAAACUGAUACUUGCUUGACUGUGUUAACACGUGCAUCUACUGAUCUAAAUCCUGACUGGCAUGACUAAACACAUGCAGUUCCUCCAGAUUUAGACUUGAGGUAGCCAUUUUUUCUGAUUCUUCAUCUAUUAGUUCCUUUCGUAAUAGAGUCCUUCAUGUUUUUCCUUCAGAUCUAAUUGCUGCAACUUUGCUGGCACAUAACCAUUUGAUGGAUUCAAAAAGAUGCAUGAGUACUUUUUAAUUUUAUUUUUAGGGUCCUACAGUGCUGGCAUGCACAUCAAGUAUUUUUCAAAAUGGAAAACUUCGAAAUGUACACAACUUUCUGUUAGAGGUAGAUACUGUAACAAUUCAACCAAGUGUGCAGAGUCAAAUUUAAUUGAUUGCUUGAGGAAUUAAGGUAUUGGCUAAGCAAUUUUAAAAGGUUUAUCGGUGAGCGGAGGUCUCUCUCACACGGAAACGUCUCCCUGUUCGAACUAUCAGUUGGUAAUUGGAAACAAAAACUCAAAAUGGGAAACAUAAUGGAAGGACACAUACCGGGCAACCGUAUAGAUCAGUUCAAGGACCCUCUAAAAGAAGGUUAUAUACCAUAGAGAGCUUCAUCUUUGCAGAUGCACGCAAGAAAUACAGGACAGCAGAUCAACAAUAUAGAUUCAAAUUUACUCAGCGCACA